GAGAACAUGCUGGAAUGUGCCUUCAUAGUCUUGUGGCUUCAGCUUGGCUGGCUGAGUGGAGAAGACCAGGUGGAGCAGAGUCCUCAGACCCUGAGACUCCAGGAGGGAGACAGUCUCAGCCUCAACUGCAGUUACACGGUCAACUAUUUGGGAGGGCUACAGUGGUACACGCAGGAUCCUGGGAGAGGCCCUGAACUCCUCUUCCUCCUGUAUCCAGUUGGGGAUGAAAAGCAGAAAGAAAGACUAAAAGCCACGGUGUCAAAAGAGGGAAGUUCUCUGCACAUCACAGCCCCUAAACCUGAAGACUCAGCCACUUACCUCUGUGCUGUGGAGACACAGUGCUCCCCAGGCACCUGCAAGCCUACACCAAAACCCUGCAGAUAG